ACUAUUGAUGAGAGAAACAGGAAGUGGCACAGCUGGUGUCCUGGUGCCAUCGCAACAACCUAGAGCUCAAUGCUCUUAAGACAGCGGAAUUGACAGUAGACUUUACGAGAGCUCCCCCUCCUCUCAUCCCACUCACUAUCAACAACACCACAGUCACAUCUGUGGAGCCUUUUAAGUUCCUGGGAACUAUCAUCUCAAAU